ensembl:lncRNA
CUACACCAGUAGGCUGGCUGAUCUGGCUAGGUGGUGUGGUAAAGACCUUGUAGGCACGGUCCACUGCAUUCGUAGGCGGGGCUGGAGGACUGGGUGUGUCGGGUAUGCUGGGGAUCUGGUAGAGGUUCCCCGGCCUAUCAGAGUCACUGUCAUGGACUGCUGCCUGGGUCACACUACCAGCACCAGGACCUCGCCCUGUGGUGGAGAGAAGAGAAGUAAGGAGGGAGAGGAGAGGAGAUGAGAACUUAAAUAGUUACAGGGAAAUGUAUCUUAUACUUCCAAAACACACACACCAGACACACACAGACACCACACUAGGGUUGAAUGGCGGAACCCGGUUACCGAGAUUACCGCCCAAAACCACUCGCUUAUCCUGGGAUAACUAAUGCUGAGAAACUGCGUAAAUACUUAUAUGAACAGUGUGGGUGAAAGUAACUGUUAAAUUAUAUGCGACCUCUGCAUGCAUGAAUCAUCACCGUUCAGGGUGAGUACAGACAGCCCAUCUCAGGGUGGGGACAGACCAUCUCAGGGUGAGUACAGACAGACCAUCUCAAGGGUGGGGACAGACAGCCCAUCUCAGGGUGAGUACAGACAGCCCAUUCAGGGUGAGUUACAGACAGCCCAUCUCAGGGUGUGGGACAGACAGCCCAAUCUCAGGGUG